GAUGAACGCUGGCGGCGUGCCUAAUACAUGCAAGUCGAGCGAACAGACGAGGAGCUUGCUCCUCUGACGUUAGCGGCGGACGGGUGAGUAACACGUGGAUAACCUACCUAUAAGACUGGGAUAACUUCGGGAAACCGGAGCUAAUACCGGAUAAUAUAUUGAACCGCAUGGUUCAAUAGUGAAAGACGGUUUUGCUGUCACUUAUAGAUGGAUCCGCGCCGCAUUAGCUAGUUGGUAAGGUAACGGCUUACCAAGGCAACGAUGCGUAGCCGACCUGAGAGGGUGAUCGGCCACACUGGAAAUGAGACACGGUCCAGACUCCUACGGGAGGCAGCAGUAGGGAAUCUUCCGCAAUGGGCGAAAGCCUGACGGAGCAACGCCGCGUGAGUGAUGAAGGUCUUUGGAUCGUAAAACUCUGUUAUUAGGGAAGAACAAAUGUGUAAGUAACUAUGCACGUCUUGACGGUACCUAAUCAGAAAGCCACGGCUAACUACG
rnacentral:rRNA from 1 species